GCCUGGAUGGCUCAGUCAGUUAAGCAUCUGACUUUGGCUCAGGUCAUUAUCUCACAGUUUGUGGGUUUGAGCCCCACAUUGGGCU
rnacentral:tRNA from 1 species